GUAUAAGAGACAGCAGUAGCCACGGGAAUACGGAGGGAGCUAGCGUUGUUCGGAAUUACUGGGCGUAAAGCGCGCGUAGGCGGUUACUCAAGUCAGAGGUGAAAGCCCGGGGCUCAACCCCGGAACUGCCUUUGAAACUAGGUGACUAGAAUCUUGGAGAGGUCAGUGGAAUUCCGAGUGUAGAGGUGAAAUUCGUAGAUAUUCGGAAGAACACCAGUGGCGAAGGCGACUGACUGGACAAGUAUUGACGCUGAGGUGCGAAAGCGUGGGGAGCAAACAGGAUUAGAUACCCGUGUAGUCCCUGUCUCUUAUAC
rnacentral:rRNA from 1 species